rnacentral:rRNA from 1 species
AUUGAACGCUGGCGGCAGGCCUAACACAUGCAAGUCGAGCGAGCGGCGGCCGGGUGAGUAAGGUAUGGGGACUGCCCGAUAGAGGGGGAUAACUACUGGAAACGGUGGCUAAUACCGAAUACUAACGGAUAACUCAUAUGGGAUUAGCUAGUAGGUGGGGUAAAGUCCACCCUCGGCGACGAUCUCUCGUUUGUCUGAGAGGAUGAGCAGACACACUGGGAGUGAGACUCGGCCCACAGACGAAGGGAGGCAGCAGUGGGGAAUAUUGCACAGUGGGCGCAAGCCUGAUGCAGCCAUUCCGCGUGUAGGAAGAAGGCCUUAGGGUUGUAAAGAACUUUCAGCGGUGAGGCGGUACCCGCAGAAGAAGCACCGGCUAACUCCGUGCCAGCAGCCGCGGUAAUUC